GCAGAAUUUUCCUACCUCUUGUCGCAUAUAUUUCAUUUGAAAUUCGAAUUUAAAUGUACUCCUACACUUCACCUGUGUGGCAUACCAGUGUCUCCACACUCCUUGGUUAAGAGGACAACCAACGUAUAUGUCAUACAACGACCUAAUAUCGAUAAUGCUGUCGUCCUAGUAACAACAUAUCAUUUAGUCGUGAAUAAGUUUAAAGACUCAAAGAUAAAUCCUCCUUUAUCAUAACAUAAGUCCUAAGGGCUUCAUCAUAUAAGAGUUCAUUUGAAGAUGAAAUGAUGAAUAAUGCCAAAUAAUAAUUUAUUAAUUUGUCAAUUCGUUUACAAAAUUCAAUCAUCAAUAUGCUGACGAUUGACAUUU
rnacentral:lncRNA from 1 species